UACGUAGGGGGCAAGCGUUGUCCGGAAUCAUUGGGCGUAAAGCGCGUGUAGGCGGCUCAGUAAGUCCGCUCUGAAAGUCCGGGGCUCAACCCCGGGAGGCGGGUGGAUACUGCUGAGCUCGAGUCCGGAAGAGGAGUGUGGAAUUCCUGGUGUAGCGGUGAAAUGCGCAGAUAUCAGGAAGAACACCGAUGGCGAAGGCAGCUCUCUGGGACGGUACUGACGCUGAGACGCGAAAGCGUGGGGAGCGAACAGG
rnacentral:rRNA from 1 species